UGGGGAAUCUUGGACAAUGGGGGCAACCCUGAUCCAGCCAUGCCGCGUGAGUGAUGAAGGCCCUAGGGUUGUAAAGCUCUUUCAACGGUGAAGAUAAUGACGGUAACCGUAGAAGAAGCCCCGGCUAACUUCGUGCCAGCAGCCGCGGUAAUACGAAGGGGGCUAGCGUUGUUCGGAUUUACUGGGCGUAAAGCGCACGUAGGCGGAUCGUUAAGUGAGGGGUGAAAUCCCAGGGCUCAACCCUGGAACUGCCUUUCAUACUGGCGAUCUGGAGUUCGAGAGAGGUGAGUGGAAUUCCGAGUGUAGAGGUGAAAUUCGUAGAUAUUUGGAGGAACACCAGUGGCGAAGGCAGGCUCACUGGCUCGAUACUGACGCUGAGGUGCGAAAGUGUGGGG
rnacentral:rRNA from 1 species